GGCUGCUCCCAGCUCCAGACCAGCCUGGGCACAGCUCCGGAGGACACUUCCCAAAGAAGACAACAGGGGGGUGAGAGAAGCAGAACAGGAAUUGUAAUCCCAGAAUCACAGAACAUUCUGAGUUGAAAGGGACACACAGGAUCAUCCAAGGAAUGUUUGAACAUUUACAGAGACUCCAGAAUUGUAACUUUGGGUGAUCUUCAGGGCCGUGCUGAGGAUCCCCUCUGUACAGGGACGGCACAAAGCCUUU